GCAUGUCAAUAAGCGGAGGAAAAGAAACUAACAAGGAUUCCCUUAGUAACGGCGAGUGAAGAGGGAAGAGCUCAAAUUUUAAAUCUAUCAUGUUUGUACAUGAUCGAAUUGUAAUUUGAAGAAGCGUUUUCUCGUACUUUAUGCAAUCAGUAUAAGUUCUCUUGGAACAGGACAUCAUAGAGGGUGAUAAUCCCGUCUGUUACUGGUUGUGAGGUUCGUUAUGAUACGCUUUCAAAGAGUCGAGUUGUUUGGGAUUGCAGCUCCAAAUGGGUGGUAAACAUCACCUAAGGCUAAAUAUUUGCGAGAGACCGAUAGCGAACAAGUACCGUGAGGGAAAGAUGAAAAGAACUUUGAAAAGAGAGUUAAAAAGUAUGUGAAAUUGUUGAAAGGGAAACGAUUGAAGUCAGUCGUGCAGUCAUCAAUUCAGCGGUUAACAUUUUUAUGUUUCCGUGUAAUUUGAUGUCUGUUGGUUAGCAUCAAUUUUGAUUGUUAUAAAAAGGUUAAGGGGAUGUGGCUCCUUCGGGAGUGUUAUAACCCUUAGCGUAAUGUGACGAUUAGGAUUGAGGUUUGCAACGAAUACCUUUUAGGGCAGUUUCACCUGGCCUCUCGUGGAAUUAUAGAUAGUUAAGAGCAUGCUCUCACUGUCUAUGAUUCUACGAAAAGGUUAGAGUGUAAAACUAAUUCGUUAAGGAUGUUGACGUA
rnacentral:rRNA from 1 species